GUGGGGAAUCUUCCGCAAUGGACGAAAGUCUGACGGAGCAACGCCGCGUGAGUGAAGAAGGUUUUCGGAUCGUAAAGCUCUUUCGUUAGGGACGAACGUGCUCUUUGUGAAUAAUGAGGAGUAAUGACGGUACCUAAAUAAGAAGCCACGGCUAACUACGUGCCAGCAGCCGCGGUAAUACGUAGGUGGCAAGCGUUGUCCGGAAUUAUUGGGCGUAAAGCGCGCGCAGGCGGGAUAUCAAGUCUGUCUUAAAAGUGCGAGGCUCAACCUCGUGAGGGGACAGAAACUGGUAUUCUUGAGUGUCGGAGAGGAAAGUGGAAUUCCAAGUGGAGCGGUGAAAUGCGUAGAGAUUUGGAAGAACACCAGUGGCGAAGGCGACUUUCUGGACGAUGUCUGACGCUGAGGCGCGAAAGCUAGGGGAGCGAACGGGAUUAGAAACCCCAGUAGUCC
rnacentral:rRNA from 1 species